UACAGAGGUCUCAAGCGUUGUUCGGAUUCAUUGGGCGUAAAGGGUGCGUAGGCGGCGCGGUAAGUCGGGUGUGAAAUCUCCCGGCUCAACUGGGAGGGUGCGCCGGAUACUGAGGGGCUAGAGUGUGGGAGAGGAAAGUGGAAUUCCCGGUGUAGCGGUGAAAUGCGCAGAUAUCGGGAGGAACACCGGUGGCGAAGGCGGUUCUCUGGGCCUUACCUGACGCUGAGGAGCGAAAGCGUGGGGAGCAAACAGG
rnacentral:rRNA from 1 species